CACUCCAUCAAUCGGUCAUCCUUCAUGGCCCUUAAUCUAGCACAACGAAUCGCUGGGGAAAUAGCUUUCUGCAGCCCCCAAACUUUAACCUUCAGUGUUCCAUUCUGGCCACAUCAUGAAGCUACUUUGUUUGCUCUGUCUGCUGUUUGUCCAUUUGGCAGAAAUAAGUUGUAGAAUAAAGUAUGUUGUCCACUCUGAGCCAGAGUGCGAGGCUUUUUGUGUGCACGAUGCCUGCUACGACUUGUUCCACGUGAAUGGCAGCUGUCCAGGGGAGCUUUACUGCUGCAAGAUCCAUUUAAUGGGCAGAUGAUUUAUUACAUUAGUUUAUAUAUUUCCAUAAAUAUGAUUCCCCCAAUUAUCUGAUUACUA